UACGAAGGGGGCUAGCGUUGCUCGGAAUGACUGGGCGUAAAGGGCGCGUAGGCGGCUUGCACAGUCAGGCGUGAAAUUCCUGGGCUCAACCUGGGGACUGCGCUUGAGACGUGUGGGCUUGAGUGGGGAAGAGGGUCGUGGAAUUCCCAGUGUAGAGGUGAAAUUCGUAGAUAUUGGGAAGAACACCGGUGGCGAAGGCGACGGCCUGGUCCUUGACUGACGCUGAGGCGCGAAAGCUAGGGGAGCAAACAGG
rnacentral:rRNA from 1 species